UACGUAGGGAGCAAGCGUUGUCCGGAUUUAUUGGGCGUAAAGAGCUCGUAGGCGGUUAAGUAAGUCAGGUGUGAAACCUCCAGGCUCAACCUGGAGACGCCACUUGAUACUGCUUUGACUUGAGUUUGGUAGGGGUAAGCGGAAUCCCUGGUGUAGCGGUGAAAUGCGCAGAUAUCAGGAGGAACACCGACGGCGAAGGCAGCUUACUGGGCCAAAACUGACGCUGAGGAGCGAAAGCGUGGGGAGCGAACAGG
rnacentral:rRNA from 1 species